rnacentral:rRNA from 1 species
UAGUCCACGCCGUAAACGAUGGAUACUAGGUGUCCGGGAUAUUAACCUCCUGGGUACUACAGUUAACGCGUUAAGUAAUCCACCUGGGGAGUACGGUCGCAAGAUUGAAACUCAAAGGAAUUGGCGGGGGCCCGCACAAGCGGUGGAGCAUGUGGUUUAAUUCGAUGAUACGCGAGGAACCUUACCAGGGCUUAAAUGUAGAUUGACAGGACUGGAAACAGUUUUUUCUUCGGACAAUUUACAAGGUGCUGCAUGGUUGUCGUCAGCUCGUGCUGUGAAGUGUCGGGUUAAGUCCCAUAACGAGCGCAACCCCCAUUCUUAGUUGCCAGCACAUCAUGGUGGGGACUCUAAGAAAACUGCCAGCGCAAGCUGUGAGGAAGGUGGGGAUGACGUCAAAUCAUCACGGCCCUUACGUCCUGGGCUACACACGUGCUACAAUGGUGCAUACAGAGGGCAGCUACCCGGCAACAGGAUGCGAAUCUCAAAAGUGCAUCUCAGUUCGGAUU